AUGAGGAUCCAAGGGAAAGGGGGCCCAAUUUGGGAAAAGGCCUGGAAAGGAUCACUCGACGUCGGCAGGAACAAGUUUCAGAUGGACCUAGAGGCGGUGCCAGUUAGGAAGGCUUGCACAAAAAUGCUGAAACGCGCAACUCGCCAACAACGAUACAUGUUCAACAAAGAGUAUUUUGAUCCUCACGCAUCCAAUUUGGGGUCAUCUCAAAUUAACAAAGCUAAUCGAGCUCAAGUUAAGUUCCACCAAACUACUCGAUCGCGCAGCUACCCUGUACACUGUGGAAAUGUGGGAGACAACUACAAGGAUAAAGAACUAACUGUAGUGGAUUUGUUCAAGGAGUGCCACUACAGCAAGAAAAAGAAAUGUUACACCAAUGUUGUGCUGAAUGCAAUUGUAAGUCAGCUUUAA
rnacentral:rRNA from 1 species